rnacentral:snRNA from 1 species
AUAUGUUGCAGCUCUUUUUUGAAUCUGUCUAGCAGGCUUCCCAGCUCUGGUUGGGAAGCCCAU